ensembl:lncRNA
CCGCGGAGGGGCGGGGAUUCCAGCCAGGCAGCCAAUGGGGGGCGCCCGUACAGCCACCGGCCAAUGGGGCCCCCGCUCUUAUGGCGAAGGCCCUUCCUUCAACGCCCUGUUUCCUCUCUCGGGUUUCCUCCCUCCCUCGCCGAGGAGGGGGAAGGAGGGAAGAGGGAGUGUGGUGGGGCGGGUGAUAAUGGGGAGGUAUCAGGGCAUAUAAUAGAGCGGGGGGUGGGCGCCGAGAGCGCUAGUGCGUAGCGACGGUUCUCGGAGAGGAGGUGCUCGGAGGGAAGGGCGGGGGCUGCUGAUGUAAUGGGGAGAAGUGAUUAAUCCUUCGGUUCGCCUUUUCGGUUCUCCCCCCUCCGCCCCACCGCCACCUUCACCCGAUUUUUUAAGCAGAAGAGAGAGAGAGAGAGAGAGAGAGAGAGAGAGAGAGGAAAAAAAAAAAAAGUGGAGCCAGGGAGCCGAUCCCGGGUAACUCGGCGUUUUCGGCAGUGGAUCCUACAAACUCAAAGGAAAAGAAACACCCCCCCAAGAGGAAUUAUCUUCCGUAUCUGGUCCCCUCACCAUAAUCUGUCCCCAAGGAAAACGCGUUUUUUUGUUUGUUUGUUUGUUUUUUUAUUAUUCCCUAGCUUUUGUCGUGAAGACGGAAAAAGGACCCUUUCUCACUUGGCUCCGGCUCUCCCUUUUGUUUUUUCAUUUUAUAACCGAAUUUCCAAGCAUUAAGAGAAGAUGAAGCCAAAUGAUAGAAGUGUAUUAUGGAAGAACUGGGAAACACUACUUGGAAUCCAUCUUGUCCUAACAAGAAG